rnacentral:lncRNA from 1 species
AGAGAUUGAACGAUGAACAAGGAAUUUAUUACAUAACCUUUUCAGAAGUCAAACUUCUUCAAGCAGAUUUUAUUAGCAAGCAUUUCAGUAAUACUACAACAGCUGAAAUCAAAGCCGAGUAGACUCCAAUAAAGAAAAUCCCACGAGAAAUCGAAUGAAACUCAGCGGCGCCUAAGCCUCGAACGUUUUACGAGUGAGCUGGUUUUAUGGAUGCAUUUCACUGGGGUUUUACUGCUUUGUCGGCCAUAAUUUAGAUUAGUGUUUAGCUAAUGUUUAUGGGGGUCGAAGGGUUAUGGAGAUCAGGGUACUUAGUGUUCAAGCAUUGAAGAAGAUCAAGCUUUCUGCUGGCGGAAGUGGUGCGAAGGAGACGACGCGGGGGUGGGGUUCCUGUUCAGCGCAGCCUUCAGAAUUUCUGGCAUCUUU